rnacentral:rRNA from 1 species
GAUGAACGCUGGCGGCGUGCCUAAUACAUGCAAGUCGAGCGAACAGACGAGGAGCUUGCUCCUCUGACGUUAGCGGCGGACGGGUGAGUAACACGUGGAUAACCUACCUAUAAGACUGGGAUAACUUCGGGAAACCGGAGCUAAUACCGGAUAAUAUAUUGAACCGCAUGGUUCAAUAGUGAAAGACGGUUUUGCUGUCACUUAUAGAUGGAUCCGCGCCGCAUUAGCUAGUUGGUAAGGUAACGGCCUACCAAGGCAACGAUGCGUAGCCGACCUGAGAGGGGGAGCGGCCACACUGGAACUGAGACACGGUCCAGACUCCUACGGGAGGCAGCAGUAGGGAAUCUGCCGCAAAGGGCGAAAGCCUGACGGAGCAACGCCGCGUGAGUGAUGAAGGUCUUCGGAUCGUAAAACUCUGUUAUUAGGGAAGAACAAAUGUGUAAGUAACUAUGCACGUCUUGACGGUACCUAAUCAGAAAGCCACGGCUAACUACGUG